CAGAUUAAUGCCCUUCAACCCUAUGGUGGAGGAGACACACCAGAGCUCUGCCUCUCAGGACUCCGGCUGGCUCUGACUGGCUCACCUCCCCAGACUAAGAUAUUUGUUUUCACGGAUGCGGAUGCAAAGGACAAAGAGUUAAAAAGCACUGUGUUGGCACUGAUUGAAAGCACAAAGUCUGUAGUGAACUUCAUGUUGACUAAUGGUCUUGGUGCUCGUCGGAGAAGGAGUGAGGAUCUGAAUCAAG